ensembl:snoRNA SNORA28 small nucleolar RNA SNORA28
AAGCAACACUCUGUGGCAGAUAAUUAGCUGUCUGCUUCAAUUUAAGCUUGCUAUAGUAAGCAUAGUCUGACCUAUUCCAGUGGCCUCUGUAGGUGAGGCCAUCUGUUAUAUAGACUCUUAACAUC